UCGAGAAUUUUUCACAAUGGGGGCAACCCUGAUGGAGCGACGCCGCGUGGAGGAUGAAGGCCUUCGGGUUGUAAACUCCUGUCAUGCGGGAACAAGCAAGUGAUAGUACCGCAAGAGGAAGAGACGGCUAACUCUGUGCCAGCAGCCGCGGUAAUACAGAGGUCUCAAGCGUUGUUCGGAUUCAUUGGGCGUAAAGGGUGCGUAGGUGGUAACGCAAGUCUGGUGUGAAAUCUCGGAGCUCAACUCCGAAAUUGCACCGGAUACUGCGUGACUCGAGGACUGUAGAGGAGAUCGGAAUUCACGGUGUAGCAGUGAAAUGCGUAGAUAUCGUGAGGAAGACCAGUUGCGAAGGCGGAUCUCUGGGCAGUUCCUGACACUGAGGCACGAAGGCCAGGGGAGCAAACG
rnacentral:rRNA from 1 species